AGACAAAUAAAUUCCAAUAAGUGAAGGUUGUAGGUCCCUAGAGAAAACUAGUACUGGUCACUGAAGAUAUUUGGAGCAUGAACUGUUGAUGUGCCUCUUUAAUCCACAAGAGAUGUGGUCCUAAAUUGAUUUUUCAGAUGAAUAAUCAAUCAAUGGGUGUUUUUCCAUGGCCUGAUCCACUAUCAAUUUAAAGAUGCUUGCUCAUUGUGGCCCCUUGACACUUAAAAUAAAAAAAGAAACACUCUUUUCUGGCACAUGGGUUGCUUGAUUGAGGCAUUAGAUAACAUGCAGACUUGUACUUGAAGCUUUUGUGGUCUGCUUUUCAUUUUGCUAUUGUCUGCAAUUGAAGAAGACAUAUAACUAUAAUGGAGGAGAACUUGCUCGCAGUAGCAGUUUUCAAAUUUCAAGUGAUGACUUUCUUUUAGAAGGAGCAUGGAGAGAGUGGAGACUCGAACUUAAAUUUAUCAAAUAAAUAAUAUAUCUUUAACAGGUCAAACAAAUCAAAGCUAAGCCAAGUGUUUGACUUUGUUUUGUCUAUAAGGAAGCAAACGGCAAACAUUAGAUUUCAGAGGUAAUACUGGAAGUGAUUGUGUAUGUCAUUGUGUGUAAUAACUUCAUUUAGUACUAGUAACUGUACCAAAUUGCCAAUGUGAAACAAUACAAAAACAAGUUGCUUUCUGAAUUCAA
rnacentral:misc_RNA from 1 species